rnacentral:ncRNA from 1 species
UUCAAACCAAGCCAAACUCGGUGUGAACCAAGGACGGAAAGUUACAGACCUUAAAUGUAUUUUUAAGGUGGCUGUGCUGCAUUA